rnacentral:rRNA from 1 species
AACGAACGCUGGCGGCAUGCCUAACACAUGCAAGUCGAACGAGACCUUCGGGUCUAGUGGCGCACGGGUGCGUAACGCGUGGGAACCUGCCUUUAGGUUCGGAAUAACUCAGAGAAAUUUGAGCUAAUACCGGAUGAUGUCUUCGGACCAACGAUUUAUCGCCUUUAGAUGGGCCCGCGUUGGCUUAGCAAGUUGGUGGGGUAAAGGCCUACCAAGGCGACGAUCCAUAGCUGGUCUGUGAGGAUGAUCAGCCACUCUGGGACUGAGGCACGGCCCAGACUCCUACGGGAGGCAGCAGUGGGGAAUAUUGGACAAUGGGCGAAAGCCUGAUCCAGCAAUGCCGCGUGAGCGAUGAAGGCCGUAGGGUUGUAAAGCGCUUUUACCCGAGAUGAUAAUGACAGUAUCGGGAGAAUAAGCUCCGGCUAACUCCGUG